rnacentral:rRNA from 1 species
AUUGAACGCUGGCGGAAUGCUUUACACAUGCAAGUCGAACGGCAGCACGGACUUCGGUCUGGUGGCGAGUGGCGAACGGGUGAGUAAUGUAUCGGAACGUGCCCAGUCGUGGGGGAUAACGUAGCGAAAGUUACGCUAAUACCGCAUACGAUCUACGGAUGAAAGCGGGGGACCGUAAGGCCUCGCGCGAUUGGAGCGGCCGAUGUAAGAUUGGGUAGUUGGUGAGGUAAAGGCUCACCAAGCCGACGAUCUGUAGCUGGUCUGAGAGGACGACCAGCCACACUGGGACUGAGACACGGCCCAGACUCCUACGGGAGGCAGCAGUGGGGAAUUUUGGACAAUGGGCGCAAGCCUGAUCCAGCCAUUCCGCAUGCAGGACGAAGGCCUUCGGGUUGUAAACUGCUUUUGUACAGAACGAAAAGGUUUCUACUAAUACUAGGAGCUCAUGACGGUACUGUAAGAAUAAGCACCGGCUAACUACGUGCCAGCAGCCGCCGUAA